rnacentral:rRNA from 1 species
GACGAACGCUGGCGGCGUGCUUAACACAUGCAAGUCGAGCGGUAAGGCCCUUUCGGGGGUACACGAGCGGCGAACGGGUGAGUAACACGUGGGUGACCUGCCCUCAGCUCUGGGAUAAGCCUGGGAAACCGGGUCUAAUACUGGAUAUGACUCCAUGACGCAUGUUGUGGGGUGGAAAGCCUUGUGCGGCUGAGGAUGGGCCCGCGGCCUAUCAGCUUGUUGGUGGGGUGAGGGCCUACCAAGGCGACGACGGGUAGCCGGCCUGAGAGGGCGACCGGCCACACUGGGACUGAGACACGGCCCAGACUCCUACGGGAGGCAGCAGUGGGGAAUCUUGCGCAAUGGGCGAAAGCCUGACGCAGCGACGCCGCGUGAGGGAUGACGGCCUGGUGUAACUACUU